rnacentral:piRNA from 1 species
UUCCCUGUGUGAGAAUUGGCUUAAG